AACGCACGAGACCUGCGGACCUGCGGAGGGAUCAUUAAUGAGAAGCUGCCCCUCGUGGGUAGACCUCCCACCCUCUGUGAACUUACCUUUGUUGCUUUGGCAGGCCCGUUCUCUGGACCGCCGGCUUCGGCUGGCCCGUGCCUGCCAGAGGAUUCCAAACCCUGUCUGUCAGUGUUGUCUGAGUCUAUAUGAAAUCGUUAAAACUUUCAGCAAUGGAUCUCUAGAUCGGAAGAGCACACG
rnacentral:misc_RNA from 1 species